rnacentral:rRNA from 1 species
AUUGCCCUAGUAACGGCGAGUGAAGCGGCAACAGCUCAAAUUUGAAAUCUGGCCUCACGGUCCGAAUUGUAAUUUGUAGAGGAUGUUUCUGGCGACGUGUCUUCCGAGUUCCCUGGAACGGGACGCCAUAGAGGGUGAGAGCCCCGUCCGGUCGUACACCUAGCCUCUGUGAAACUCCUUCGACGAGUCGAGUAGUUUGGGAAUGCUGCUCUAAAUGGGAGGUAUACGUCUUCUAAAGCUAAAUACCGGCCAGAGACCGAUAGCGCACAAGUAGAGUGAUCGAAAGAUGAAAAGCACUUUGAAAAGAGGGUUAAAUAGUACGUGAAAUUGCUGAAAGGGAAGCGCUUAUGACCAGACUUGGGCUCGGUGAAUCAUCCGGCGUUCUCGCCGGUGCACUUUGCCGUCCCAGGCCAGCAUCAGUUCGCGCCGGGGGAUAAAGGUUUCGGGAAUGUAGCUCCCUCGGGAGUGUUAUAGCCCGUUGCGUAAUACCCUGGCGUGGACUGAGGUCCGCGCUCUGCAAGGAUGCUGGCGUAAUGGUCAUCAGUGACCCGUCUUGAAACACGGACCAAGGAGUCGUCUUCGUAUGCGAGUGUUCGGGUGUCAAACCCCUACGCGUAAUGAAAGUGAACGUAGGAGAGAGCUUCGGCGCAUCUCCGACCGAUCCUGAUGUUCUCGGAUGGAUUUGAGUAAGAGCAUACGGGGCCGGACCCGAAAGAAGGUGAACUAUGCCUGUAUAGGGUGAAGCCAGAGGAAACUCUGGUGGAGGCUCGCAGCGGUUCUGACGUGCAAAUCGAUCGUCAAAUAUGGGCAUGGGGGCGAAAGACUAAUCGAACCUUCUAGUAGCUGGUUUCCGCCGA